rnacentral:rRNA from 1 species
UACGUAGGGUGCAAGCGUUGUCCGGAAUUAUUGGGCGUAAAGAGCUCGUAGGCGGUUCGAUAAGUCGGGUGUGAAACCUCCAGGCUCAACCUGGAGACGCCACCCGAUACUGUCGUGACUAGAGUCCAGUAGGGGAGCGUGGAAUUCCUGGUGUAGCGGUGAAAUGCGCAGAUAUCAGGAGGAACACCAGCGGCGAAGGCGGCGCUCUGGGCUGGAACUGACGCUGAGGAGCGAAAGCGUGGGGAGCGAACAGGAUUAGAUA